UACGGGGGGGAGCAAGCGUUGUUCGGAUUUACUGGGCGUAAAGGGCGCGUAGGCGGUCGUGACAAGUCACUUGUGAAAUCUCCGGGCUUAACUCGGAACGGUCAAGUGAUACUGUCGGACUAGAGUACAGAAGGGGCAACUGGAAUUCUCGGUGUAGCGGUGAAAUGCGUAGAUAUCGGGAGGAACACCAGUGGCGAAGGCGACUACCUGGCCUGUUCUUGACGCUGAGGCGCGAAAGCUAGGGGAGCAAACGGGG
rnacentral:rRNA from 1 species